CAACUUUUCAAUGUGUAUUAAAGUUCUGUUUCAGGCAAGUUCCUUCCUCACUCUACACAGAGAAGUCCCUGUCUCAUACUUUUGAGGCUGAGGGUUUUGCUCUUAAUGUGGGAAGCUCAGGAUCUAGCUUCUGGAUUGAAUUCGUGGAGGGCCUCCCUGCAGGCUUGUCCUGGUGGAGGACCUCACUGCUGGCUACCAGUUGGAGGUCCUUGCUGCUGCCGUAUUUAGGGUGGGGCCUCAGUUGCUCUUGGGCAUAAUGGAGAACCUCACUCACUGAUGACAUGGUUUGGGGGCUCAACUGCUCAGCUGCUAUCUUGCACUAGAGAAAGACCUUACUGCUGUCUUGCCCUGGAAUUGGGGUCCUAUUAUGGGCAAGACUGAAGGCUUGCUGUUAUAUGGGUAGAUCUUCUAUGCUGGUUCCCCCUGAAGAUGAGGAAAUUGAGACUCGGAGGAAACUGAGUGAUUUUCCAAUGCUAACAUGUCUAGGAAGUGUUGGAACAAGAACAAGAUCUAAAUCUAGUUCUAUCUCCAUGUACCAUACUAUUUCUACUGUUCCGCAUUGUCUCACUCCCAAUUCCAAUUCAUCAUUUUCCACUCCUGUAGUAAGAUAAAACACUAACAUCUUUCUGAGACGAUGACCAAAGAAGAUGCAGUCUCAGGGCCUUACUGAAAACCAUUUUGAAAAAUCUGAAAUCCUGACUCAGCAGUAAAGUAAAAAGUCACUGCAGAGUCCAAAUUAUUCAAGAGCAAGACAGAGACUUUUAGUUAAUUUAGUUUCUUAAGUGAAACUGCCACCCAAAAUUUCAUCAUUGUGAAGAAAAUCUAAUAGGUCAAACAAUGCUUUCUUGAAUAGAUGGUUGCUGCAAUCUAAUCUAUACUUGUCUUUCAUCCUAUGCAUUUUUAUAGGACCUCUCACUGGAGCCCUGUGACAGGGUAAAAAUACAUACCAAACUGAGGACAGAGAGUCUUCCUCUGUCCCCAGUCACUUUGAGAUUAAUCAGGGUGGAUACUCUCUUUAAAGCCACUUGUGAGUUGAGAAGAGAGAAAUAGCAGAAUAGGUUCAACCUAUUAUAAGAAAGAUUAGACAUGAAGGAAAUAC
rnacentral:lncRNA from 1 species